GAACAGCUUAUAGCUGACAGCUGAAAGUGAAAGAUGAAGUGAACCACAACAGAUAAGGAGAGAGGAGGAGCCAGGAGGACAUGUAAACAAGAAGACUGCAGCUUCCACUGCUGGUUGUUGCUCAGCAGUCUCGUCGUUUGGUCCUGUAGGAGGCUACAACAGAAGAGACACAAGGGAGAAGAUGAUCUACUACAGCAUCCUGCUGCUCCUCAGCCUGCCCCCCUGUGUCCGUGAAUCAUUUGUAUUGAAUGUGACACAGACCUCCUAUCAGGCAGAGGAGAACCACAACAUCACACUGGAGUGGAUGUUCCCAACCAGAACCGACAGUUCCCUCAACUCACUAUUUAUCUACUGUGAACUGUCCUGCUGUCCUGUUUCAUCUCCAUGGAGGUGUUGAGGUCCCAGAGUCUCAGGAUCAACAGUUUACAGGACGAGUCUGGUGUGACAAAGACGUCCUCAGAGACGGACGAAUCAGACUUCACAUGUCCAGACUCAGGAUCAAUGACUCGGGUGUGUACCGGUGUGACGUGCAGACAGGUGUUGGUUCGGGCUCUAGGAUAUGUAGCCUCAAAGUCACAGCAGCUGCUGAUGAACCCGAACCUCAGAGACCAACAGCGAGACCACAACCAGAGAGACCAACAGUGAGAAGGAGAAGGAACAUCUACUUUGGACUGAGACUGACAGCAGGUCUACUGGUUGUAUGUGCUGGACUCUGGUUUGCUGCCUUUGUCUUUCGUCGACUAAAUCUACUGAUAAUAGAGGAUAGAUCCAUACAGUCGUACAGAAGAUGAGUUUCUUAGAGGAACAACCCAUCACAACUCCAGUGCUGAGACAAGGUCGUGUCUAGAAGGUAACUCCCGAGCUGCGAAAACGUGCCAAAACUCUUGUGAGACUCGCUGCCCGACGACCUUCAACCAUUCAAGGUCAACGCUUAACCGUAACUAUUAGAGGUCAACGCUUAACCUUAGCUAUUAGAGGAUUACUGGACAACGCGAGCCAUCCUCUGCACGCCGUCAUCACCAAACAGAGGAGCUGGUUUAGCGGCAGGCUGCUGCUCCCCAAGUGCUCAACAGACAGACUCAGGAAAUCUUUUGUCCCCCGAGCCAUCAAACUGUACAACACCUCUCUAGGGAGGGG